GACGAACGCUGGCGGCGUGCCUAAUACAUGCAAGUCGAGCGGAUCUCUUCGGAGAUCAGCGGCGGACGGGUGAGUAACACGUGGGCAACCUGCCUGUAAGACUGGGAUAACUCCGGGAAACCGGGGCUAAUACCGGAUAACCCUUCGGACCUCAUGGUCAGGAGCUGAAAGACGGUUAUGCUGUCACUUACAGAUGGGCCCGCGGCGCAUUAGCUAGUUGGUGAGGUAACGGCUCACCAAGGCGACGAUGCGUAGCCGACCUGAGAGGGUGAUCGGCCACACUGGGACUGAGACACGGCCCAGACUCCUACGGGAGGCAGCAGUAGGGAAUCUUCCGCAAUGGACGAAAGUCUGACGGAGCAACGCCGCGUGAGUGAAGAAGGUUUUCGGAUCGUAAAACUCUGUUGUUAGGGAAGAACAAGUACGAGAGUAACUGCUCGUACCUUGACGGUACCUAACCAGAAAGCCACGGCUAACUACGUGCCAGCCGCCGCGGUAAGAC
rnacentral:rRNA from 1 species